AAUGAAUACAGAUGCNUCCUCGAGCUUGCUCACGGGCUUUCUAUCAUAUCCAUAACACCUGUGCACUUGUUGGAUGUCUAGAGACGUAAAGUCGACAGUCAUCCACUUACACUAAACAAUAAUGUAACAAAUGUAGUCUUAUUAUAACAAAAUAAAACUUUCAACAACGGAUCUCUUGGCUCUCGCAUCGAUGAAGAACGCAGCGAAAUGCGAUAAGUAAUGUGAAUUGCAGAAUUCAGUGAAUCAUCGAAUCUUUGAACGCACCUUGCGCUCCUUGGUAUUCCGAGGAGCAUGCCUGUUUGAGUGUCAUGAAAACCCUCAACCUUAGAUUGGUUAUUUGACCUUUCUUUGGCUUGGAUUUGGACGUUUGCCGAUGUCAAGUCGGCUCGUCUUAAAAGUAAUAGCUGGAUCUGUCUCGCGACAUGGUUUGACUUGGCGUAAUAAGUAUUUCGCUAAGGACAUCUUCGGAUGGCCCUGUUGCAGGACUAAAGACCGCUUUCUAAUCCAUUGAUCUUCGGAUUAAUAUUCAUAACAUCUGGCCUCAAAUCAGGUAGGACUACCCGCUGAACUUAAGCA
rnacentral:sRNA from 1 species